rnacentral:sRNA from 1 species
AUCAUUGGCUUUCCUCCUGAAGUGAAAAUGGACGGCAAAUGUGUGUGUUGGAACGCAGGUAUGUCGACGUCACGAUGACAGGCGUUCGCAUACCGC